GGGGACCUCAGGGACUGAGAGGAAUGGAAACAAUUGAAGCUGGGAAAUCCAACAGAGUAACUUGACACACCAGUGAGUUAUGUCAAGAAGGAAUUGCUUCAAUAGAGCACUGGGUGCACGGGGGAUCUCUCCACUGAACAUGCACCCCAAGGGGAGCAGCAACUGCUUAUUUCAAGUUCUCACGGCCUCACAGGGUGGUGACGCACUGGAACAGGUUGCCCAGAGAGACUCUGGGUGCCCCAUUGCUGGAGGCGUUCAAGGCCAGGCUGGAUGUGGCUCUCAGCAGCCUGCUCUGCUGGUUUGCAGCCCUGCCCACAGCAGGGGGGUUGGAACUACAUGAUCUUUGAGGUCCUUUUCAACUCAGGCCGUUCUGUGAUUCUACGAUUAAGUGAACCAACUACCUAAUUCUCCUUUAAACGGCAAAAUCAGAAAAACAAAUGCCCUCUUUUCUAGAGCUUCUCUCCAGCAGUGCCUGCAUCUCACAUAGAAGAGAAACUGCUAACCUCCUCAUUGCUGAGGGCACGGGAUCAAGAGUAGCUGAGCCUGACCUGUAGUUCAUGGGAGCCAACAGGAACUCAGAAGCGAGCCUGCCACAAGUGUCCAGUCAUGAGGAGCUGAGCCGCUCCAGGAGUGGAUCAGAGCCACUCAGCCUUCCUGCGUGAUGGUAAAUAAAAUGAGCCAGCUCUAUACAAGGAUCACUGCCCCUGAGAACAACUGGCACAGCACAACUAUAGGGUAAGCUGAAUUUCCUCACUCUCUACACAGCAUGGUUGCAUCCAAAAUGCCUUCUUGGAGUCGUCCUUGUUGCAUCUUAAUUUCUAGCUGUAGUUGGAUAUGGUCCAGAAGCACCUGGAAGACUCUGAGUUCAUCCCAAAAAUGCUGCCAGACUUGGGCAGAGACAGCUGAAGAAUUACAGCCUUGUUCCUGGUUCUGCCCAUGCUCCUAUAUCUGGAGCAACUUUAUUCCUCUCUUCAGCUAAGAUCAUCCACCCUCCUUUCUGCAUGCUUCCAACUUACACAUGCAAGACAAAACAUUAGAUCCCUCCAAGGAGCAAUAGUCAUUCUGGUGCCCUGGAUGCUUGACACAUUGGAGAACAGGGUGCUAUCUCAGCAGCAGUUUUCUCCAUGGGCACUACUGUAUGAACCCCAUUAUGGAAAUGACAUCGCAGACCGACUUCUCAUUCUGCACUCCCAGGAAGCUUCAAGAUACCUGAAACAUAUCAGAAACCCAUAUGUUGGCAGCCCUGUCUACGCUUGGGAGCUGAUGUGGAUUCCAGGCCCAGAAACUCUCAUUCCACUAAAAGGAAGAUUAUACUAUUACACUGUAACAAAAUCUUGGGGAGUUCAAUUUCCAAAGAGCGUAUUUGCCUUUGUUGGGAGUCCCACGCAUAUCUACUGUGGUAAGAGCAGCACUGUAAUAUCUGCUACUCAAAAGAACAGCAGCUACAAAGAGAACUAGCCACCAACAUCAGCAUCUUCACUUUUAUCUUCAAACAACACAUGGUAUUAAUCUGGAGCCUCGCAUUCCUAAAAGUACUGGAAUCAUGAAGUGAUUUGCUUCCAGCAGGACCCUGAAACACAGAGUAACACAAGCGAAAACAGUCAGAAUGAACAAUCAGAGCAAAAUAUGCCUGCUGUCAAAUAGACUCUAAGCUUUUAGCUUUUCACCCGACAUCACCCAGCUGAUGAUUUGCGGGUCUCAUUCUACUUCCAGCCGCACCGCCUAAGUCGUGGAGGUGGGAGCAGUUACUGUGAGUCACUGAAACUUGGGGCAGCUUCAGAGAGCGACACGUGUUGGGACAGGGCAGGAUUAAUAAGGUCAGAAUCUCAUUCGCACGUCAGUUCUGCUCUGGCAUAAGUAUGUGAUGCACUGCAGCUUGGUCAUGUUUCAGUGGGGUUGCUUCAGAUCUGCUUUACUCUUUGUGAGAUCAGAAUCUGUGGCUGAUAUCGGAUGAAAAGUUAUGGUGACACCGAGGCAAUUUCUUUUGUAUUUCAUGUGAAGAAAGCUAAAAUAAAUAGCAUGAAAGGCCUCCCCUGUUAUUAGCUGGUGUGUUUGAAAGAAUCCUGCAGUUGUGUUUUAUCUUUUUUUUUUUUUUUUUUUUUUUAAAUCAGCAAGCCAGAACAUUUAAGAUAUAAUUAUUUGGAGAAAGGGGGAAGGGAAGUGUGCCUUUUGAAGAAAGUCCCACAAGCUUCCAAACACUUCAACAUUUCAUCGUGGCAAUCAGCCAGAUGCCAAACAAAAUGCUGCUUUCCACCAGGGAUCUGACAGGUGGCCUUUCCAAAGUUUACACAUUGAAGUGAGAGCUGAUGUUCUACUGCUUAUUUUUUUUGCCUUCUAAGUUAUUCCUUUAUUGAAGCCAGACUGAAGACAUCUUUCCAUGUAACAAAAGAUAAAAUCUAUCCCUGAAUAUUUUGGGAUUUCAAUGUGCCUUUCUUUUAUCCGUAUCUACUCAAGGAAUUAUUUUUUACACAUUCAGAUGAAGAAACAUUAGGCUGGCAAGAGAGAGAAAUGCAUGCACAGACAGAUGAAAGAUAAGCUAUUUGAAGCCUCACUGAUAACACAGGGCCAGAUACUACUUAGCUACAACCUGGGGCAGAAUCCCAUGUUUCCCUUGACGCAUUUCCUCCAUACCACCCUUCUGGCAGAGAAGAGGCCUGGCAUGUCAGCCUGAGAGCAUUUCCACCAGGUUCCAAGGUUCCUGGGAUUCUCCACCUGUCACCUGUUGCCCAAGGGCUGUCAGAUUUUUCUCCUCAGAAUUUUUAGAUGUUCCUGGAAACCCUCUAAAUCUACGCAUAGAAAAUAGCUGGAGAGACAAAGUGCAGGGCAAAAAUGAUGCAUCAUAGAUUUCAGCCAUACAUCUCAGUUUUCUUCAUGUGUGAAGUCCCUACAAAUACACAGAAAGAUCCAGGUUAAGAGAUGAGAGAAACUACAAAUCCCUCUGUAGAAACAACUGGUCUGCACUUCCCCCAAACAGAGAAGGGCUGGGUCCUCUUAGGAUACACUCUGUACUCUCUUUGCUUUCGGAAGUGCAGCACUCAAACAAAAAUCUGUACUGAUGAGCUUCCCACACAAGUCAGCAGAGCUACUCCUACGUCACAUGAACGCAAACCAAAAGGCAAUGAACCCUAUAAAUAAUGCAUACGUAAAGAGAGCAGCAAAUGCUGAUUUACAGAAUUUGAUCUCAUCUGAUGUGAGAUACAAUCAUGGAGUGAGUUGCUGGAGGUUAAUGGAGUUGCUCAAAACUGAUGACUCAGUUUACGAGACUCAAGUCUGACUCAGCUUAACCUAGUUCUGGGAUCAUAUUCUCAAAACUCAGAAGAGAAGACUUGGGGCUUCCCUUUGUGCUCAUUUAUAUCCCAUUUGGCUAUCAUGAAACCAAAAGAAAAGUGGGGUAUAUUAGAUAAUGUAGUACACAACCAAGAGGGAAACUCUGGCAGAGAAAAACCUAAGUUCUGACCAAAAAAAAAAAAAAAAAAAAAAAAAAAUCUUACUAUUGGCAAUCAUCAGUAAGGGAUCUAUGAGCUGGACUCAGUGAUACUUGUAUGUCCCUUCCAACCUGGGAGAUUCUAUGAUUCUGUAAUCUUUCCCACUGUUGUGUUUCUAUACUGCAGUCUUCACCAUAGCAUCUAAGCCAUUUCUGAGAGCUUCCCAAGGGACUUACAUCUGGUACAUACCAUCUGUGUGCCCAUCAUUCUCCUGGCAGUAGAUGAGCAGUGAUAUGCCUCUUUUGGAAGGGACUGCUUUAAAUUGCUGUUACAUAUAUUAAUGUGUGUUUGUACUGGAGAAGACAAGAUCAAACAAAUGGCUCUACACUUGAAGAAGGUAGACAAUCAGUGUGCAGGAACUCAGUUCCUGAGAGACUUUAUUCCACCAGCUGAAAACAGCACACAAGGCAUGUUUAUGGAGGAGCAUUCUCUUCUACUAAAUGGGCAAAGCUGUAACCCAUAGCAGUUCUCUUAUAUACAAACAAGUGCAUGUAUAUAAAUACAAUAGAAGUCUAGACAUCAAUUGGAGAUUUUUUAAGGAUUCCUAUGUUGGGCCAUUUUACCAUGAGAAAAUGCUGGAAAAGUGACCUUCCAGAUACAAAAUUAAAAGUAUGUGAGCAAAUAUGCCACCGAACACAGUUACUGUACAGUGCAAGUCUUUUAGACAGAGCUGAAUCACAAAAUCCUCUGAAUGUUCAAAAAUAAAACAAGAAAGUGAAAAUAUGAAACAUUAGUAUGGCACCAUCGUUGCUGAAUUGUUCACCCUUGGCCAUGAUCCUCCUAUUUUGACCAAUCUUUUCCAGGCCAUUCUUUGUUUUCCAAAAGUCAGACUACCACUCAAUUUGUCAGCAGUUCUACAUGUGACCGAGAGGGAAGUGCACUUCAGCAGUACUUAGUUAAAAUCUCAGCUUCCACCCAGUCAUGACAAUGGCAAAACAACCACCGAUUUCAGUCAUGCAAUUCAAGCAGACUGCAAAAUAAGCAUAAAAUAAGUUACAAUUGUUAGCAACGUUCCACAAUACUUAAAGCAGACAGAGAAAUGCUUGAACUCCUCUGUGAGUAGUAAAUAAGCCAAUAAGCUCUUGCCGUCUCUCCUCCCACCCCACAGCCAUAAGAAUAUUUGAAAAAGAAAAAAAAAGAGAGAGAGAGAGAGAGAGAGAAGGAAUAUAAUGAAAGCAAUGCAACAAAGCAGGCAAUUCCUUAGGAAUUAUCUCACAUUCAACAUCUCUUUGAAAUUAUCCAGCAACUAAACCACAAGCCCCCUGGUCCUUUUGGUCUUACAAAACAACAACAUAGUCUUCAGAUGCAGUAAUUAUAGGCAACAUGCACGAAGAAAAGCAAAUAAAGCAGUUUUAAUUGCCAGAGUCAAACACGUAAUUGUGUAUCUAUAAAGGUAAUUACAAACUAAAAGAUCAGUAAUGGUUCUUGUUUCUUCCGUUUUACCCUGAAGAAAAACAAUUAUCACUUAAGUAACCCUAAUCAUUUUAAUAUUUGUUCGGCAUAUCAGAAUCACAUCUAAAUCCCCUUCUUUUCUGAGGCAUCUGAAAUAUGUACUCAGAGCCAAACACUACGUUUUCUCAUUUCUAAUUCAGGAAAGUCUUGAUCCAAAACCCUCUGAUGGCAAUGGAAAGAACCCAUAGAACUCAUUACUGCUUAAUCAGAUUUUUUUUUUUUAAUUCUUCUUAUCUAUUUUUUAUCUCACUAGCCUCUCUCUCUGCAAGAGACAUUGAAAGUAUAAGGAUCAGGAAGGGACUCCAGAAAUGGGCAAAUAUGAAAUAUGUUGUUAUGUAUGAAGCUUCUCUACUGUUUAGUACUCACAGUAAAGCACCAGGCUGACGAUUUUGUCUACAGUUAUAAAACACCUGGAGUACGCCCUCAAUCCUUGAGUGAAAUCUCAGAGAAUGAUACCCAGUUAUUGCCUUUCAGCAUGGGUUGAUCCUGCAAGGGAUCUUUCUCUCCACUUGGAGGAAAACACAAGCACGUGCCAUAACACAUAAGUACUUGAAUAAAAUACCUCAUAGAAAACUAGCCUACUGCCAUCUACAGAGGUUGAUUAAGAACUUCAUUAAAGAAAUUAAAAGCACUGUUAAAUGUUUUAACCUCAGUUUGACACUCAGAGUACAUUCGGCCUUUGGAAACAUUUAUCAUACUUGCAACACUUUUCAAAAUCUACAAUAUUUGGUGUGGGAGAGAACGGAGAACAACAAAUGAAAUGAAAAAGACAGAUCUGGCUUGUUUCAGUAACUCUAGCUCUCAGGAACCAGAUCACAGUUGAAAAAUCAGAACUGGAAAUUACUAUUAUAACAUCAGUGAAUGUGAUCCUGAUGAAACAUUGAAAGGCGACUUUAUUUAAGGGGCAACAAGGGGGAGAUAAGAUCAAACCUCUCACUUUGUUCUAUAUGGACAAGCAGAUCUCAAUAACAAUAACAGCUCAUGCAGCCUCUCAAGCAUGAGCUGCUGAGCCAAUGAAGGAGGCAGCCAGGCUCACCUCCGAAGCCUAGUUUGGGCUCAAAUCAGCAUCCGCACUUAGAUCAGAGCCAACAGAAGUUAAGCCAGCAAGAAUAUUUUGGCACCAUUUCCUGGCGGCCACAGUGACCUCAUUUAUCUAUUAUGUAUUUUCUUUUUCAUGCUCUAUGUAUUCAGUCAGCUUUGCUGGCUGAUGUCCUGUUUUUUUGGCUUGUUCUACUAUGGCUUGGCUGUACCUUUGACUGUUUGGCAUGCCCAACUCUGGUAUCACUUGAUUUGUAAAGCUGCUGCAAUUUCUUAAUUGGACAAUUAUAGACUGGAAUCCAUUUAUGAAAGUUUGUUCUUAGCAUUCCACACUGCACAGAAACUAUUCAUUCACUCAUCAAGCUUGCUGAACACAGAGUAAUACAGGACUUUGCCAUGAAGUGGGAGGAGACUUGAGGGGUAAGACUGUGAUCAGUAAAUAUCACGAACUUCUCUUCAAAGUUCAAUCCAGUACAGCGCCCAUCUUUUCACAAGGGACUUCUGUUUUCCUCUCUUACACAAUUUUUAAGCUCUCUUUCUACCCACCUCUCACUCCAUAGUACCCAUUUAUCAUAGAAUCUUAAAAUCAAAUGAGUUAGAAGAGAUCCUUAAAGGUCACCUAGUCCAACUCCCCUGCAGCAAACAAGGACACCCACAGCUCAGUCAAGAGUGCCUUUGUGGUGUAUUUCCAUACCUUAGGUGCAGUCAACAGUUUUUCACCAGAGAGAAAGCUCUCAACAGAUCAAGCAAGGCAAAUAACAUUGAGUAACACCUACAUGUUACCCUUCCCCUAGCCAAGCAGAACUACAGCUGUAUCCUUAGCCCCAGUGGUUUCUGUUGCGCUGUUCAGAAGUCUACAAGAUACAGCAGUACUCAGAGUAUCCGGCAGGACAGCACGCAAUCACAGAAUUUCUCAAAGCUCUUCUACCUUAUACGCCUUCAUACUCCCCUUUCUCAAACCAGGUUUCCAGCUGUGUUUCCUCUCACCUCUUCUGUUGCUUCACGGCCCUUCAGCCACUCACAUCUAGUCCCCCUGGGCAAGUGCAGAGUGAUAGCAUGGAGAGCAAAGACACCUGUGGAGAUCUUCAAGCCCUGAAGUAUGCUGCAGCUGGCAAGGCUACAGCCUGACAGCACCUGCGGCUGCUUAUAACAACAGCUUCUUGUGUUCAGCAGCAAAAAUGAAGUGCAGUGGAGUGCAACAGGUCAAGUUGGGAGAAGAGCCCUCUUAUGCCUAAGAACCACAUAAACACAUUGCAGAAAUGCUUGGAAGAACCAGCACUGCGUACUGCUCUCUUGUCUGUGCUGUGGUGAAAUCCAUCUAAAAUGGGAAAGUGCAGGAGCAACAAAAGCAUUAAUGUCUCCCCAGUCUCUGCCCCCAGAGUGUUUGUUUCAAAGCUUUCUCAGGGCUUUUGUGCUAGAAAAUGUGAGCGCACACCACAGGCACACACCACAGACCAAGCUACUUCUCUUGGUAUUUUCUCCAUAUGGAUCAGGGGACUGAGCAGAAGCUACUUGAACUUGAUAUUGUUUCAGCCCUAAGCAAGCAGCUGACUCUUGCAAAAACCACAGGUGAUAGUGUGCGUGUGGUCUGCAGCAAGGCUUUGGAUUACUACUGCUUAGUCACUGAGGCGGAGAUGGUUUCUGCAGCAGCAAGCAAGCAGCAUAGAAGGAUGCUGCAGGAGUAGGCUCUGUUCCAGAAAAAUGACUGAAUGACUUUGAAAAGAACUCAGAUGUGGUUCACAGGCAGAAUAAAACACUACGAGAAAAGUCUUGGCCAACAGCAUGGAUGCUCUCGGGAGAGCUUCUGGCUUGGCUGAUCACACAUAAAAUGCUCUUCUUCCUCAUGCAUAAGACCUACCUUAGAAUGACCACACUUCCUUUCUUCCGCUGGGGAUGGAGUUUAUCCUUGACCACCCUGGAGAAACAGCAAGCAAAUUGUAUCAGAAAUUCCAUGUCUCUGCUCCCAUAGAAGUAUGGCUUCGUUUCAUGUAAGACUCAGCAGGAAAAGCCAGCCUGUAGCUCACGGUGGGCAAGUGUUUUUAUUACUGGGGCUAGUUGCUGUUUAGUAUAUGGAUACAAUUGCUUGACCACGUCCCUUUCUUUUGUGAGAGUUUGAUGGUUGCUUAGCACUUAUGAAUACACCAGGAGGGGCUUAACAUGUGCAGGCUUUAUCAGAAACUAGCUGUUCUUCCUUCCAUUCCUUGCUUGUGGCGACAGUAUGGAAGGUUAUGGGCCACAUCACUUCUCACAGAUCACGCUGACUUAGAUCUUCAUUUUCUUAUAGGCAUUUCCUUUCAGCUCUGAUCUUACUCAGAUCCUCUUGAAGCAGAUUCCACAGGAUCAGUGGCAAAAUAAGAAAUGUGAGCUUAAGGGCACAUUAAUACUUACGACAAAGUGGUGGUCAGCAGCCUAACUAGCCUAGUUCUCAUAAGCAAACACAUAGGAGGAGGCAGUGUGUUGCUGUUAAUUUUAUUCUUCUUCCACUCUGCAUCUCAGUAGGCAUUUGAAAGUGACAAUAAGAUUUCAAGGUGUAAGAUGAUGUAGAAAUGGCAUUUCAUUCCUGUUUCCUCUGUUAAUAUGUUAUUUCUUAAAAAGUUGUGAUCACAACAGAAUUAUGGAGAGGAUCUGGGGGCCUAGGGGUUUAAUUUUGAAUUUACAGCUUUUAAUUCUAGGAGCAUUUUUGUUUUUAAUUGGCUUCUCCAUGCUGCCAGCAGCCUUCUUGCCCACUGUGCAGAUCAAAGCCCUUAGCUGUAUUGUAAUCAGAAUGAGAAUAACAAAUCUGUUUGAUACCAUCCAAGUGUCACCUCGCACUGCACGAAAGCGUUGAAAGAUGAUUGCUUAAGGAUGAAAUAACUGACUGAGAAUGGUUACAUUACUCUCUGGCCACAGGUUGCAUUUGUUGCUUUGCAUGCAAAAAUUCUACCGAGAAAAAAAAGAGUUACUGGGCCAACUGUGAGCCAAUCAUAAGCUGUCAACUGGAAAAACAUAUUGGUUUAUCUUCAAGACCCCCAGCACUUCUCUGAUGAUUGCUGAGCUUGAAGAAGCAGAGUAAUGGAAGGAGAAAGACUAUUCAAAUCAGUUCAGAUUUUCAAUAAAUCAUAUAAUACUUUUUUCAUACCUGACCCUAGCAAUUUAAGCACAGGGAAAGUGGCCUCAGAAAAACUGUGACUUUUGGUAUGGUUCCUUCACGCCACCUUCUUAAUUAUACUUGGUAAAAUAAAUCCAUUAAAAGAAGCUGGCAGAGAUCUGAGGGGAGGGGAGGCAAGAAAAAGCACAGCACUAUAAUUGAAAUUUAUGAUGAUGGAUUAUUAUUGUCAUAUGAACAAAUCCAGGAAAAAAAAAUUGGCUUCAGAAGUAAGGAGAGGAAACUGCCUAUCCCGUUACAAGGUAACAACAGCUAUUCAGAUUAAGUAGCACAGAUGUGCUUAACUGAUCAUGAGUUUAGCACAUAAGGGAACAGUGGAUGGAAGCUCUCUGAGGCUGACCUUGACCUCAGCACUUCUUGUAACAACUCAAGAUACUAAAAAAUAAAUCCAUUUACUGUCUCUUCCAACAUAUAAAAGAAGCAAGCAUUGUUUAAUAAUACUGAGAAGAACACCAGCAGAAUUUCACAGCCCAGAGAACCAAGAUUAUUAGGAUAAAAUACUGUAAACUCUUGAAACAUCGGCAUUACAUUCCCAUGAACUCUACAAGACACUUUCCAGAGUGCUGGUUACUGGCAGAGCUAUAAUGAAAAAGAUGAAUACUGCUUACAGUUUGAAAAUCCUUUGAACUCAAGAAUUUUAUGAAAAGGGGAUGGGGAAGGGAAAAAAAAAAUGACGUGGAAUUCCCACAGAACAUAAGUUCAUUCUAGGGAAGAGCAUACUCUGCCUGAAUGUCCCCUGUGAUUGUUCACAGAUACCCGGCCCACUGGCAAAAUGAGCAAUGUUGACAGUGGUGGUUAAUCAGCUGAUUCAUAGACACUCAAGUGAUCAAAUAUGGGCCUAACUCAGCCAACUGGACAGCCUCCAAUAGUGGAAAUUGCAUCAGUGGAAAAAUCUAUAUGCUGCCUACAAGACAAAUUAUUAAAAGCAGAAGCAUUUUGACCAUAUCAAUCUAAUGAAGGUGGAUACCAGGGAAUAUGAGAAAUACUGCUUUACUAACAGUCAUUAUUUAGGUCUGCACAGCAUUCAUGUAUUUAUCAUUUAGACUGUUCACAUCAGCCUAACAUACACUGCACUACAACAGAGAGAUCUUAUCAGAGAUCCUUGUACUGCAGUGAUUUUGAGAUCAGCAGUUAAGUAUUUAGAGUGAAAAAAACCAACAGAAUUAAUCAGUUUCAGAAAAACUUCUCCAUAAAGCACAAGGCAUCAUCACAAGUUGUAUGAAUAUCAUUGAAAUGGAAAUGCUGGUGUGCUACUGAGUUCCACUCAUGUAGCUACUGGCCUUGUAACCAGUACUCUCCUCUGGAAAGUGUUCAUUUCCAAAACAAGCUUUAUGCAGCAGAAGAUGAAAGAUAAGAGCAUAUAGCCACCAGAGCUGUACAGCUUGCCUAGUGGAAAAGUUCUUCAUUUUUUUGUCACACACCAAGAGAAUGCAUGUUGUUAGCAGCGUUGCUGCAAAUGUAGUGUUUUCAUUAUAGGUCUGCCACUGUCAACAUAAGAGCUAUAUAGAUAAGCAGUUUAGUUAGUUCCCAGUUAGUCUGAAAAACCCAAAGCAAGGUAAAGUGCUGAAGCAUUUACUUGUUUUCAUACAUUUUGAAAAUGAAAUAUUUUUUUAUGCACACACAAGGGCACAAGUGGGAUAAACUGUAUCUGAUAAGUAUUAUUUGUAAGACCUCACAUCAAAAAUGGGAUAAAGUUAUUUGCCUUUGCUUAAAACAAAGAAUAAUUGAACUCUAAGAGCAUUCUACAACACAGACCUAAUCUUCUAGUGCAAAAAGAGAUUGUUCGGAAAACACAUCACCCAGUGUUGUAAUGGUAUUUAAGGUUCAGACCUUUGUGGAUUUGCCACCAGAGGCCUUCCCUACUUUCAGCAUGCGACUGGGCUAUCUGCUAGCUCUUUCCACGGCUCCCUUCAAGUCAUGACUGAGGAACAGAGGUUCAUUUAGUCUGGUUAACUUCAGCCCUGCCAUAUGUCAUUUCUGGAUCAGUGGCAGCCUCUAGUUAUUUCCCAGUGGCCUUGGUCCAAGGAAGGACUUUCCAGAGGCAGAAGCACAAAAGAGCAAAAGACUGAUGCUGGUGAUGAGCCAGCACCACUUGGCUUCCAAAUCAAGAUAAAACUGCAAUCGUACUUAUAUUUUUCCUGUGGGAAGGGUACUAUUUUUUUAUCUACCCCACGCAGAACUCUGAACAGAGUUUUACACACAUGCUUGUAUAUGCCACUGCCAUUGUGCUUUGUUCCAGGGCUAAGUGUUGGCAGAAUAAGUGCAGUUAUUAUAAAAUGUAUUAAUAUUUAUAAACACACUAUUGAGGAAAAUCAGUCUCUGUCAGAAGUGAACUGUCUAAACACAUUGUGGUGCUCUUUCACUCUGGGAAUAAUCUAGGCUGAGACAAACACUACUGAAUCCUGUUCUGGAAGAAUAAAUCCAAGCCCUCUAUGAAGUGAAAUUAUAAACGUUUGUUCCUAACAUUUUAUUUUUCUGUUUCCAAGCAGAAACUUCUGGGCAAGUUUAAUUGUGAAGGGAUUACUCAUUGGGUGAUAGCAGUAUGGAGCUGAAAACCAAACUAGAUUACCAAGAGAGUCUUCUAUUUACAUUUUGCUCUCCAAAUAAUAGACAAAAUGUGUAAAUAGCAAAUGCUUCAAUGUGUUGAAAUUUCAGUCAAAAUAAUUUUUGUGAAAAUCUCAGCAAAUAUUUUGGCCAUUUCUUAUAGCGAAGCAGUGAUUGGCACUGCAGCAGGGACGCAUGCAGAUCAGAUAACUGUACUGCCAGGAGUCCUUUGUGUUUAUCCUGCUGUAAUAAUUACAUGAGAUAUCACAUAUGCAUAUGCAUCAUUAGUAAAAAACAAAACAAAAAAAAACCACAAAACAAAACAAAAGACAAACCAACUGCAGUUGCACACAAUGGAUCUAUUGGUAGCACUAGUGGAGAAGUUCAAGUUCAUUCUAUUUUCAGACUCACUGUUAAAAUGACUCUUUUCAGAAUGUUUAAUCAGUGUACUGAGACAAUUCUUUUGUAAAAUGUUAUAAAAACUCGCAUGCCUAUAUUUUGCUGACAAGAGAGUUGAUUGAGUUUUUGUUGCUCAGCUCAAAAUGAGUACUUGACCUACUUAAAAGGCUUUUAAAUCUGUCUAGGUGCUUAUAUGACCCAUUUUUUGCCAACUUAAAACUUAUUAGCCAAGAUUUUAUAGCAAAUAUUCACCUGUACAUACCACUGUUUUCAUUAUUAGCACACACAAGUAUCUUGAAGUCGCCUAAUGCAGAACAUUAACUUUGUAGAUGUGUACACACCUGUGUACAUAUUUUAAGCAAACAACUUCCUUGAAUGCAAUAUUUUUUGAUAUCUUGAAAUGGACAAAAGAUGAAGAAAUGCUGAUCCAGCUAAAUAGUUUCCUUCAGCCCUUCUGGGUUUGCUUACUUGUGUCAUCUUGGAAGUCAGAAUGUACAUUAAGAGCGAGGAAAAAAAUCUCCUGCACGGAAUCACAAGUAUUUGUAUUCAAAUCCCAUCUCAAAAAGGAACUUCUUUUUUUUUUUUUUUUUUUUUUGUAAUCCUACAAUUAAGACCACUUGAUCCAAUGAGUCUAGAUUGCUGAAUUGACAAUAAAAGGUAUGAUGUUUACCUUGCACAUCCAGUAUGGCUGUUGUUUUACAGUAAAGCUCAUGUGACAGGAAAACAUUGGACUCACUGAAAGAUCUGGCCAUCAGGAAAGGAGUUUCAGCAACAUAUGAAUUAUUGUUGCUUUAUGCAUUGAGACUGAGCCAAAAUUCUUUCCACAGCCAUGAAUUGGACUAAUUUCCUCAGCCAGUGACUGUGGAAACCCUAUAGAAACAAAUCCCAAGCCAUAGUUUCAUUUGAAAGAGGAACACCACCUCUCUUUUCACCUCUUAACCCCACCUAACUACAGCGUCAUUUCAAGGGUUUCUGAGUUAAAAGCUCAGGCAAUGAUGAUUGCUCUACAGAUAGGCCUCAGGCCUCAUAGCCCAUUGGGGAGUGCCCAAGAGCUCCUUGGCCAGGGAACUCCUGCCCUCCACAUGAGGUGCCUGAGCUUUGCCCUGACAGUGGGAAGAGGGGCAGAGUCCCUCCAGCAGCAGGAGGAGGUUGGGACAGCCAGCCCUCCAGCUGUUUGUGGUCACUGGUGGAGGCAGGAAGGGUCAUGCACAGGUUUUGAGAAAACAGUGAAACUUGUGCAAUGCAGCACAGGUAAAAGAAGAGGCAUAAACCUACCUUGCUGCAAAGCACAGUGCAGCUGACUUUUCACCAGUCCGCAGUCCUUUUAAUCUAGAUAAGAGUGCUGCCCUAGCAUGACCUACAAGCCGAAGAAUUAGUUAAUUUUCCCCUCUGAUUAAUAGCUUGUGUAAAAUUAGUAGGAAGGAAAAAAGAGGUGCUAGUUAACCACCACAUCUUUCUUGGCGGGAGGAUGUAAACGCUGAAGGCAGAGAUAAUAUUACCUCCCUUGGGCAUCAGACGCUUGGUGGUUUGGAGCACAUGCCUUUGAUAAUCAACAUCAGUAUCUCUUUCAUGUCACUGAACAGAAAAUAGGGCCUCUUCAAAGAGACUAACUCAGAAAAGAAAUUGUUAAACAGGCCUGGCUGGGUUGAGCAAUGCUGGAAAUUAAGUACCCUGGAGGGGCAGGAUUAGAAGUGAGGUCAGCACCCUCACUCAGGGCAAGGGAAUACAUUAAUGGCCCUCUGUGCUGCCUCUGAAGUUGCGAUGGCUGUCACUGAAUAUUCCUGCAGACCUCUCUUUCUCUCCCUCCAUAUGCUGUCCUGAUGAUUAGCAUUCUGCCUUCUUGUCAUAAAAUACAUGAAUUAGUCAGUGGCCAGGAGAUUGCUGGCCUAAGCUUUUGAACUGAUACGGAGCUUCAAUUACACAGCCUCACUGAGAAUUUUUUUUUUUUAAUCCUGACUUUUUCAUAAUGUUAAUCCGCUGGUAGAUACUUAUUCUUUAUCUAAGACACCAAGGCGUUCAGCAAAUGCACAUGAAAGAGCAAGGCUUUGUUCCUUUGCCAUCCGGACUCUUGUUUAGUGUGUGCUUCAAAUAAGGGAAUUACAUUCUAAUGACUCACAGUUUUAUUUGUCUUAACCCUUCUGGAGACAAAUGAUUUGCUGUGCAUGUUGAUGCAAUGAUGACAUCAUUUCUCUCUUGGACGAUAACUAACACAGAAUCCACCUUUCAGCAAAAAUACCUUUAGAAAAGCACAUCUGGCUUUAGUCUGGGAAUUUCAAAGGUUCUUCAUAAAACUGAGCUCUCGGUAGCAAUGAGCUUUGGACACCUUGCACUGCCCUACCCUUCUGGAUUGGCAAAGCUCCAUGAGAAGUGCUGCAGAGAGUGAGGAGAAGAAGAUGUGCUUGAAAGUGUGUCUCUAUAGUGUAGCUGAGCCAGCACCUUCUGGACAGCAUGGAGGCAGAGAGCCUGGAGAGCUGCACACUGGGACACAGCCUGUGCUAGGCCAGCCUGGACAGGGAGCGAUGCUGUAACCUGCAUGCUGCUCACAGGUCCAGUGUAGAAAUUCAAACAUACCACCUAAUGAAAGCAAAAGGAAACAAGAUGUUUAAUUUAGGUGACUUAAGGCACAGGCUUUCCAGCCUAUAUUUCUUGAGACCAGAUUCUUUGCCUAAAACCAUUUUUGUGUAUGGUUCUUGUUAAAAAGGGUUUCAUUUCUGUCCAGUAUAAACAUGUAUAAACCAAUUAAAUACUGCCUACACAAGCCAAGAAACUUAGUCAAGCACUUUGCUAGCAAGCUCAGAACAUAAGCCCACAUGCAGCUGGUGGAGUUUGGAUUCGGGUGAAGACAGCACCUGAGAACUUGUCACUGCCUACAUAAGUCUGGACAUACACUUCUUGCACCCAGUGCCAGCAAUUUGCUCACUUGUUGAGGUGAUAAUGAAAAAUUGAAACACUUGAGAGCAAAUCUUCCUCCAUCCACAGCUUACUGAUAGCUUAAAUUGCUAUGCACAUUCUGUCUACACAAAUACAUCAUUUCAUUUCCAUUUAUUUGCAGGAGCAGCUUCUUGCAUUUUUUAAUCUUAGACAGCUUCACAAAGACUUCAACAUCCAGGCCUCAAACCUUGGUAUAAAGAGGACCUUAAGGACAGAAGCUGACGUUUCCAAAUAACAGCAAGCUGAGAUCCCAAGAGGCUUACAAAUUCCGUUCUGUUUCUGGUCAAGAAAGAGCAGAGCCUGGUAAGCAGGGUCCUCCUGUGGCUGCAUGAAAAUGCCAUACACGCAAAUGACUCAAACAUGUUUCCUGUGUGCCCAGCCAAUGGGAAUGCCAAGGAAAACAGGAGAGAUUAAAACUUUAUCUCCAACAGCAGACUGCCUUCCCAUAGCUUCUGCUGCAGUGUUGGGAAUUAAAUAACACUGAGGAGGAAUCUAGUGAGUGAACCAGUGCACACCAAAUAUGUCCAGGCUUGGUCCUAAACCAGUUUCACCCAGACUGUGCAAGGAGUCUACCCAGUACCCAAGAACAGCAGCAAUCUCCACAGAAGGCUUAGGGAAUCAGGGAACAAGACAACUUCUAUGGUAGUACUUUGUUGUCCCAGUCCAAAAUUCGGCACAAAGCAGAUGAUCCCUACAGGUCCAUUCCAAUCCCUACGAUUCUUUAAUAUGUGCUUCCUUUCACAGAAAUAACAUGUUUCUGGAAAGGUCUUCUCUCCAAAAGAUCACCGAAUCAUAGACUCAUAGAAUGGUUUGAGUCAGAAGGGACCUUUAAGAUCAUCUAAUUCCAACCCCCUGCUAUAGGCAGGGACACCUCCCUCUAGACCAGGUUGCUCAAAGCCCCAUCCAGCCUGGCCGUCAAUGCCUCAAGGGUGGAAGCACCCACAACCUCUCUGGGCAACCUGUUCCUGUGCCUCACCACCCUCAAAGUAAUGAAUUUCUUCCUUGUAUCUAGUCUAUAACUACCCUCUUCCAGUUUAAUUUUACAAUUAAAUCUCACGGUAUCUUUUUCAGGAAUAUAUCAGUCAGCAAGGGUUUUUAUUGUUGUUUUUGUUAUUAUUAUUAUUAGUUUUAAUGUGGGUUUUAUUCUGUUUUUUCUUUUGGGAGGAGAAAACUAAGGGGUGAUGCAGUUAAGCAUCUGUCUGAGGCCAGAGUGGAAUCAUAAGCAGAUUGAUCCCAAAUUUCCAUGUGUGCCAUCCCACGCUCAUUAUUCCAUGAUAAAAUUCAGGAAGUCUCACAGCUAAAGCUUGGAUGCUAUUUUAAAUUGUAUAGUGUGGAUUAAGUUUAUUACCUAUGUUAAUUACCUAGUCCUGCUUCAAAUUCCACUCUCAGUUCAGUGGAAUCCAGUUCACCAGAAUCCAUAUAGGACUGUGAGGUCAACAGAGGUCUGUAGCUAUAGGAUGUCUCUUUUUUCCCCCCCCCUUUUUUUUUUCUUUUUUUUUUUUUUUGAAUAUUUCUCAUGUACCCCCAAUGCAGCCUCAAUGCAAGACUUUGUGCUUCAUUUAUGCUGUUUAAUAGUUGGUAUGGAUAUUGACUAAGUAACUACAAAUCAACGAAUUUCAUUAAAAACAAACUCUCACUAUUGUUUGCUUAGCUGAGAGACUUUCUGCUGUAAAUCCAGAAGAGCAACGAUGACAGCCUGCUCAACAAGCUGUCAUUCCGUUUUUUUCCUGCAAAGAGAAAACAUAGAAACAGCACUAUUUCCUGCCUUCUUUGAUCAGUGGUUAUAGCAAAAGACAUAGCUUUAACGUGACAAUUCAGAUGCAAUCAUAGAAUUAUUAAGGUUGGAAAACACCUCUAAGAUCAUCAAGUCCAAAUCUCAAGCCAUCCCCACCAUGCUCACUAACCAUGUCCCUCAGUGCCACAUCUACAUAUUUCUUGAAGACCUCCAGGAAUGGUGACUCCACCACCUCACUGAACAGCCUGUUCCAAUCCAUUACUACCGUUUCUGAGAAGAAUUUUUUUUAAUAUCCGACCUGCUAUAUGCUUGGGAAAGUAGCAUUGUUGCAGCAGUACUGAAGUGAACAAUGCAAUUAAGAGAGGACUUGACUGUAGAAAGUAAACUUGACUAAACCCAAGAUAGGCAGACUUACCAACAAAUAUUUAGAUACUACCAGUAUUACAUGUAAGGACAGGUCAAGAGUUUUUUAAGUUUUGGUUUUAAAGAUGUGAAUUCAUAGAACUCCAAGCUACCUUUCCCUUCAUGGAGCACUUGUUACUACAAAAAAAAUGCCUGCUUUGUUAAAAGCUCCCUGUUGACAACGACAAGUCUGAAUAAACAGUCAGCUGGCACAUUAGUUUCUAUUAGCUCAAGUUUACAUGCCUUGUCAUGCUCUUCCAGCUUUCAUUUGUCACUAAGCUACGCAAAAGCUCAGCAAACACUAUUUCCCUUCAAACUUUCCCCAGGUUUCUUUUGUAGAAGAGGAAAAAAGGAAAGAAAAAAAAAAUGGGGGGGGAGGGGGUACAAUGGUGGGAGAGGACAGAAUCAUCAGUUCUUCUGCAGGGCACUCCAGCUCUGCAUGGAAGAUCCAGCUGAAGUCUUUCAUCUUGAGAUCAAGAGACCAGUGUUGAGCAGCAGCAGUCUGGAGCCAGAGCCCCGGAGCGAAAAGCAGCCAGAUGGGGGGCUGUUUCAGUAGCACAGAGUAGUUGGCCACAGAGUCUCUGUGCUACUGAUGGAUCUGCAGGCCAAGGAGUUGUCAGAAGUCAUUUGUUUUCAUUUUUUGCUGACCUUAACGAUAUAUAGAACUUUCUUUGCUUAUGCUGGGAUACUGGGUGCUUGCACAUGCUCUGCACAGGGCCAGGGCAGCUGAAAGACUGGGCAUGUGGGGCAACUACAGUGUGCACAGACAGCAUGAACAUACAAACACAAAUGCAGGAAGAACAAGUAUUUAAGAAUUUUGGCAUAAAACCCACAUGAAGAAAAGCCAGUCUACUCAGCAGCAUAUUCAUAAAUGAGCUCCAGAGACCAACCCUCACACAAAACAAACCUUGCGCUGUGGCUGCAUGCUCAGCACCUGGAGAGCAAUGAUAGGACACUGUGCUAUAACCUCCCAGCACAAACACUGCCCUGGGCUCAGUCUGGUUCUAGUUUUGUGAUGUGCAAGGAGUCAAAGUGACCUCGGCUUCAUUGAAACUCCCCGCUCGCUAUUAAAAAGCCAGCAGGGCUUGACAGGAAUAGCAGAAACCAGAUGGGAAAGCACCAGGACUGGGGACAGUGGGGCUGCAGAUCCAAAGGUCAGUGCUACUCCGCAGGGAGUGCCUGAGCUGCAUGCUGUGAUUCCAGCCCUGGGGCAGCGUCUGCUGCAAGGGGCUUCUGCCCAGCAAGAGCACCUGGAAGUCAGGCUGAGCUGGUUUGUUUUUAUGAGGAGGGGAUAGGGGUUACACAGCAGAGCAGAGAGGGAAAAGCAGAUGGUGAGCUGUUUUCAUGGCCCUGUCUGCUCAAUAGCGGCUCUUUAAGAGGGCAGCCAGCUUCCUGCAAUGCUUGGUGCCUGCCUUACCGGCCUGCUCAUGAGGAGUGCAGUGGACAGAAAUGCAGUGCUGCCACUGGCAUCAAAGCAUACAACCAAAGCCUGAUGAAACGGCUGGCUCCCUGCAAAGAGUGAGAACCAUGCAUCCUAGCCCUCAGGGGCAUACUGCCCCAACAGGGAAUGCUAGGAAAUCCCAAGAUAAAUCUGUGAAAGUAGCCUUCAAGCAGGAUAUGGUGCCGCGGCCUCUGUUCAUCCUUAGAUGUUAUUGCCUCUGAGCAGGAUGAGUAUCAACACAGGGGGUGGUGGACCUUUGUCAUGCAGCAGGAAUGUUAACAUCCUCCAGAUUUAAACGGCGCCAUCUGAAGAGCAGUUCAUGUGCUGAAAUUAAUUUUUCAUGUGUACAUCAUGAGGUCCUAAUAAAAUUGUUAAAAAAAUAAAAAUGAAAUUGCCUUUGUUGUCCUCCUAAUAGGACUCCGUUGGCAUUUCUCAUUGCUGUUGUCUGUAGACAACAAGGUUGUUUUUAAAGUUAUGGUAUCAGCCUCGCAAAAUGAAAGGGAUUAAAAAGACAAAAACAAAAUGUCAAAACAACAGAACAGAAAGAGGAUUUUUGUCCAUAAGGGGGAAAAAAUAAAAAGGAAGGAAGAAGAAAUAGGAACGCGCCAAGAAGCAAUAUAAAAAGAAGCAGGGACUUUUGAUGUUUUCUUUUCCCUCCUCCUUCAUUCUUGGCUGAAUUAUAGGGCGUAGCAUAGCAUUUUCAAAGCAUCUUUUACAAACUUUAUUUAGUACAGUGAUUCACAUUUCCUGAGCAAGGUUAACCGAAGGGAGGGAUAUUUCUCCCCUUGCCCCCGGCUAUUCCCCAACUUUCAGCUAAAUUGUAUCACAUUGUUAAAAAUAAUUGUCAGAAAGGAACAUUUCCUGAUCUCUUCCAAUUGCAUUGUUUUCCCCAACAAUGUGCAGGAUGGUUCAUUGCUAAUUUUAGCGAGCGUUUUUUUAUUGCUUUGCACAAUCUGAAGCCUCUUGCAUAACACAGAUGCACACAGUUAAGGCUGAGGACUUCAUGGUUCUGGUGUGCGAUGACCAUGUCUCCAUCCAAACACCUCCAGUUUGCAAAAGCAAGACGUUAUGUAGAUAGGACAGCUGACUUUCUCUUCUAGAUAAAGUAAAUCACUCCCCAGGAGAAACUAGAGCUGAGCUCAGAUGCAGGAGGCAUCAGAGCUUAUAGGGAGUUCCAUGCCUGCACAGACAUCACCUCAAUCUCUAUGCUCUAGCAACCCAAAGAGAUGAGCGCCAGCCAUGCCAGAGCUCCAGCAUAGCAGAAAAAAAUACAUUGGUGAUGGGGGCAACCCUAUACUCAGUUAGAGCAACAGAAAGUAGAGUGGAUGAGGCAGGGUGGUCAAAGCAGCUACUUGGGAUCAUCAGCAAUAAGAAAAGAGAAAAGGUCUGAAAAAUGCAGUAUCUUUUCAAAGAGCAUCUGACUACUGAAAAAAAAAAAAAAAAGAAAUCACUGUUGGAAAAUUUUACUCUGUCCUGUUUCCAUUUCACUGACUACAAGAGAAGCUCCAGUAGAAACAGCUGUAAGGUCAGAUUUGUUUGAAAGGAACAGAGAGGAGAGCCUCUGGUUUCUUUCCAAAAUGCCGUUUGUUUAAGAUUCACAAAGGGUCAGGAAGAACAAAUUGCAAUGGAUACUCUCCCUGUGUAGCCAAACAUAUUUCCAAGCAGAAACACGAUGUUAUGAAGAACAAACAAGUAAAUAUAAAGGAAGCUGAAGAAAACCCCAAUCCUAAAACCUGGCUGCAGAAUGGUAUCACUCUAACACAUGCUCAGGGAAUAAAACUACUUUUAAAGCAAUGCGGGGGGUGGAAAAAUGUUAGCUAUGACUUAGAUGAAUGCAGAGGGUCACUUAGGAGAUAGUUACUUAUCAGAAUGAGCAUCCUAGCUCUGACUCAAACUCUGCCAGCGUGGCUUAGUUUUGAUCAUCUGUUGCAAUCCCUUGUACAACACAGGAAAUUGUGUAUCAGCCAGAAAAGCCAUAGCUCUGCUAGAGAACGUUGAAGGCACACAGUAAUAUGUGCCAUCUGCUACCCAUAGGAUGUGAGGAGGUGUGUUUAGGUCCUUCAUCUCUACUCCGUAUGUUCCAAAAGCAGCAUGUUUAGCUGCUUGGAUGUUUUUAUUCCCACAUGGCUUCCCCUAAACACAUACAUGCAGCUCCAUUUCACCAAAUAAUGGAGAAAAAUGCAAAGGAUGACCUGGAGGACGCUAGUCUACAUGGAUAGUAAACCACAAAUAUCAUACUCCUUUCUGUGUGCACUACUAGAUAUUUACAACAUUCUACAUUUAAGAAAAGUUAAUAAGAGAUUUAAAGGGAAUGACCUUGUAAAGGGAAAACAUCUACUGGAUAGAUCUAUGUGAUCCUUUAUUGAUGUCCCAAGUCCUAAGCAAGACCAAAAGCUGUAUAUUCAGAGGACACUGUUCAUUUACCUGUAACUAAGCCUGACCUACAUUUUGACUUGGGUCAACAGAGGCUUUCAGAAGCCCUGCCUGGCUGGCCAGAUCCCUCUACUCCAGGCACUGGAAGAUUGAGACAGGCUGUCUGUCCUGUUCUCCCCCAGUACUGGGAGCCAUGGCUCCAGCGAUGGAUUUCUCCACCCUACUGCCGUACCAAUAAAGUGGCAACCAUCUUGCUGAACUUUCAGGUAAUGAAGCUGCACUUUUCUCUAACUGCUAUGAUCAGUUACAGUUUAUAUUAAUCAAAUAACACCAAUGUAAAGCGAUGGGCUGCCAGGGGACGGGAAAGCAUUUUACCCUCAGCUGUUCCUGCUAUGUUUGUGUGCACAGUUCAGCUUACCAUUAACAAGGGCAAAUCAUGAUCCAUAUCCAUCUCCAGUCUGAUGCUGGGUCUCUGAAGUAAUAAACUGAGAACUAAUGCCACUUAGGAGAUUUCUGCUGUACUUCAGUGACCACUGAAGAUAUUAUCAUCUUUACUCACUUCAGUUCCUAACAGUUUGAGAAAAAGUCAGGCCAGUUGCUGGGUAUAGGUGCAUGAUAAAUCUACUCAUGCCUUGGUUUUCUUCCACACUGCAAACCAUCGCUCAAAAGUACAGCCUGGGGUACAGCUCAAGCACCAUGCAACCUGCCAUGCAUCACAGGAUGCAUUUUUGCAUGCCAGGUCUCAGUGCAGG
rnacentral:lncRNA from 1 species